rnacentral:rRNA from 1 species
AUGAGAGGGAAGAAAGCAAAGGUAGUGGAGGGGAAUGCUCAGCUGCUCUGCAGUGAUGCGCUCACCGAGGUCUUCCACAGGCUGCCUGCCCGCACCCUCGCUUCUUGCAGGAUGGUAUGCAAAUCCUGGAUGUCAUUGCUUUCCGAUGUGCAUUUUGUUCACGAGCACCUGAACCGAAGCCAGCAGAAGUUGCUGCUCUUUGCAAAUGACAGAGCAAAUGAUAGGUCUCUUGCCAUGGUGCUCGCAGACGCCAAUGGAUACAUGUACCAGCUGUCUAGGCCCUUGGUUGCUCAGACCCUGUUUGUGCACAACUCUUGCAACGGCCUGCUCUGCCUAGGUGACAGUAAAGGAGCAGUGGAGUUGCUCAACCCGACAACCGGUGAAUCUCUUGUGUUGCCGAAGCCAAUGUACACUGCAGGAAGCAGCCAAUUCUCAUCAUGCAACUGGCACUGCUUGGGGUUUUGCCCGUCAACUAAGCAACACAAGAUUGCACAUUUUUACCCGGGAGCUCAUGCUGGUUCUCUCGAGGUGCUCUGCGAGAUAUACACAAUUGGAGAUAGAGACUGGAGACAAAUUGGGAGUCUCCGUGGGGCACCAAUUGAUAGAGGUAUACAUGUGAAUGGUUCAGUGUAUUAUUUGACAAGGUUCCGUUAUAUCUCUUCAUCACGUAUCAAUUGUUUGGAUCUUCAACGUGAAAAGUUUGAUGUCUUAAUGCUUCCUCCACGCAAGACCUAUGGAGGGCAUUGUUCUUUGUCUGAGCUCGAGGGAAAACUAUGUUUGUUAGUUGUGGAUGGUGCGCUUGAAGGUAUACCUCGUACAAUGGACAUAUUAAUGCUCGAUAACGAUGAUAAGCAGAGUUGGACUCAUAGAUACCACAUAUCUUUGCCUCCGUUGAUGCAAUCAUGUUAUUUCACUCCAAGACACACACUUUUUCAUGAUUCCAAAAUUUGGGUGCAGUUGUUUGCUCGGAACCUAUACUGCUAUGAUCCAAAUUCAAACUCUGAGGAAUUGGAGAUUGCCUGUCCAGAAUCUGAGUUUCCUUUCAGCAUUCAUACGUUUGUUGAAAGUAUAAUUCCUCUGCGUCAAGAUAAUUUCAUCAAGAAGAUACAGUGA